rnacentral:rRNA from 1 species
AUUGAACGCUAGCGGGAUGCUUUACACAUGCAAGACGAACGAGUGGCGGACGGGUGAGUAAUAUAUCGGAACGUGCCCAGUAGCGGGGGAUUACUACUCGAAAGAGUGGCUAAUACCGCAUCCUAUUGGAGCGGCCGAUAUCGGAUUAGCUAGUCGGUGGGGUAAAGGCUCACCAAGGCAACGAUCCGUAGCUGGUUUGAGAGGCCGACCAGACACACUGGGGCUGAAGCACAGCCCAGACGCCGACGGGAGGCAGCCAUGGGGGAGUUUGGGCAAUGGGGAAGACCCUGUACCAGCCAUCCCGCGUAUGUGAGAAGGCCUUCGAGUUGUAAAGUACUUUUGGCAGAGAAGCGGUAUCUGCAGAAUAAGCACCGGCUAACUACGUGCCAGCAGCCGCGGUAAUAC